rnacentral:lncRNA from 1 species
AAGCUAAAAAAAAAUAAUUUUACCUAUGUAUAUUGCAGAGUAGGAAUAACAUUAGGGCCCGUUUGGUUCGAGUUAUGUAAUAUUGCAAAGUAUCUCGAUAUAUCUAGGUAUUUUGAAUUUCGGCAUGAGAUUUCUACUGAUGCUGUAUUAGAGCGUUUGGUUUAAUACAGUAAUGUAAUACUAAAUUACAGUAUUUAUAGCAUUAAUAUGUUUGGUUCAGUUUAUAAAAUUUAGUAAUCAUGAUAUAAAAGUAUAGUUUUUUUCAAAAUUGCCUUUGUUGUGGUCAUUUGAAUAUUAUUUUUGCAGAAAUGACGAAUGGAAGGAAGGAGAUCAUGAUGAUUAUUUGGGAGGACGACGCAAUAGAAGAUGAUAGGUGUUCGUGCGUGCGCACGCGCGAGAGAGAGAGAGAGAGAGAGAGAGAGACGUCGAGAGAGAGAGAGCGAGAGAAAGCGGCAUGCGAGAGAGAGGGCCGGGGAAGGCGAGAGAGAUGAAAAUAAUGCUGUUAAUUUGAUUUGGGGUUGUUGGACGGUAAAAUUAUCAUUUUACAUAAUAUGUAGUAUUAACGGGUUUCAGUAAUGCAAUAUACACGACCUCCCUCCCGUUAAUAUUUUUUAAUAUUUUUUAUGUAAUCCUGCUCGAUUUGUAAUGCUACAUUCAUGACUAGAUUAUAUAGCGGAUUAACCAAACAUAGUUAUCCUGGCAGGAUUGCCUGUAAUCUUGCCAGGAUAACUCGAACCAAACGCACCCUUAGUGCAUUUAAUUAAGUUAGAUUUAUCUAUUAAAUUUAAUUAAAUUUAAAAAAAA